UCAUAAUCGAUGGUGUGAAUGCAUUGAAAUUAGAAAGGCGUAUGCAAUCAUCCCAUUGUUUCCAUCGUUU